GAUUAACGCUGGCGGCGUGCAUAACACAUUCAAGUCGAACGGACAUUUGCGGGGCUUGCUCCAAGAAUGUUAGUGGCGGACGGGUGAGUAACGCGUGAGCAACCUGCCCUUUUGUGGGGGAUAACGUCUGGAAACGGACGCUAAUACCGCAUAACCCAAUAGUACGGCAUCGUACAGUUGGCAAAGAUUUAUUGCAAAAGGAUGGGCUCGCGUCUGAUUAGAUAGUUUGUGAGGUAACGGCUCACCAAGUCGACGAUCAGUAGCCGGACUGAGAGGUUGAACGGCCACAUUGGAACUGAGAUACGGUCCAGACUCCUACGGGAGGCAGCAGUGGGGAAUAUUGGGCAAUGGGCGAAAGCCUGACCCAGCGACGCCGCGUGAGGGAAGACGGUCUUCGGCUUGUAAACCUUAAACAACAGGGACGAAGAAGUGACGGUACCUGUUAGGAAGCCACGGCUAACUACGUGCCAGCCGCCGCAGUAACAC
rnacentral:rRNA from 1 species